rnacentral:rRNA from 1 species
UACGUAGGUGGCAAGCGUUGUCCGGAUUUAUUGGGUUUAAAGGGUGCGUAGGCGGCUUUGUAAGUCAGUGGUGAAAUAUUUCAGCUCAACUGAGAGGGUGCCAUUGAUACUGCAGAGCUUGAGUACAGAUGAGGUAGGCGGAAUUGACGGUGUAGCGGUGAAAUGCUUAGAUAUGACAUAGAACACCAAUUGCGAAGGCAGCUUACUAGACAAUUAUUGACACUGAGGCACGAAAGCGUGGGGAUCAAACAGG